rnacentral:lncRNA from 1 species
UGGUUGCUGGGUUAGUUCUAUAAAUACAUGAAGACAUUGCUUAAUCUUUCUUUUUGAUUAGUGUGUUGGGUUAAAUGACCCAAGGAAAUGUUCUUUUUUUCUUCUUCUUUUAUUUUUUUUAAUUUUUAAUUUUUGGUAAGGAGGUCGUAAUGGCUAGUUUUUUUGUUGGUUGUUUGUUUGUUUUAUUUUAGCAGUCUUUUUUAAGUAUCUGUAUUUAGAGGAGUAAAUACAACUUCACUAGAUUAAGAUACUGUUUAAAGCACUUACAUAAUAACUGUCUAAAUUGAGGGGUGGGUACCAUUA